UCCUUGAUUUUGUGCAUCAACAAGCUUGUUUUGUGCUGUUUUGAGUCAUUUGAGUUGUUUUAGUGUAUUAGAGUCUAGUUUUACAUUCUUUGAGUCUAGUUUAGUGUUCCAAACUUAGUUUUACGUUUUCAAGUCAGUUUCAAGUGUUUUAGCAAUCCUUCCUAAUCCCCGGCCUAGAUCGAUCCUUACUUACAUAUAUACUACAAUUGUCAACAAGAGGGUUUAAUUUGUGUGCUUAUGUAUUUCGCAUCAUCCUCGAUCGCCUAACUCUCCGACUCUAGAGCUGUUAUUCCAAACUGAAGAUGUCACCGAUUGCCAAUAUAGUGUUAUUAAUCCAAACUAAAGGUGUGUUGAAGAGGUUCAGGAGGUUAGUGCUUUUUCAAAGGUUUGAGAGGGUUUCGCGUAGAGCGAGAAUUUGCGAAAGGGCAUGCUUUGUGUUGAGUUGAAGAUCCUUUGAAUGUUGUAGAACCUUUUCUAUAUGUCAAGACCAUAAUUGUAUUCGGCCCGAACUCAAUAUUUUGGAUCCAUAUAGAUAGUCUCGCGCCUUGCAAAGUUCGUUCUCCUUAAUCUUAUCUCUUGAUUCAGUUGGACCUAAGCACUCUAUCACUAAAGAAUUGUCUUUGUAAAGUUAUCGUUUUCUUUUGGCAUAUGUCCUAUUGCUCUUGCUCUAGGGAUUUUGAGGGCCUCACGUCCAACCAAAACUACAACUCGACUCCUGAGCUUGAAAGAAGCACGAAAAUAACAUCCACAACCUCGAUUUGUGAGAGAUGACGAGAGUUGAAGGCUUGUUCAUACAAUUGUACCGGCGAAUGGAAAAAUUCAAGGAGGAGAGAGAGAGAGUCAACGCGAGAGUGAGGGUGUGUGUGGUCCAGCUUUGGGCUACCAAACAAAAACAAAUAAAACUAAAAUCUAAUUGGGUCCAAAAAGUUAGGAAAAACAUGUCAUGGUCCAAAUCCUUAGCCUGUUUACACACACACACAACCACUAAAUGCUCAAGGGCAUAACUGUCACUUCACGCUAUCAAGGAUAAAAUAAUAUACAUUCAGGACGGGCUGUCAUAGAUAGUGUUAAGAAAAUCAAUUUCUAUUAUUAUUUAAAUAUUGAUUGACUUAUUUUUUAUUAAUGACAUAUUAUUUGAUCUGUGAAUUUAAUUUACAGUUUUAAUCUUUUUAACAUUACCAUAUGAUAAUAUUAGGGAGCAACAUCGUCAUUGUCACAUGCGCCCCAAAUUUUAAAUUGCCACAAGUGCUAAAGACAUGGGUCCACACACAAGAGAUAGGGAGAAUACUCCUAGUUAACGAAUCACAUUAACACAUAAAUUGCUGUCAUUGUUAGUGUGUGUGGGGUGGAAUUAGUUUCGUAAUGAUGGACUUU
rnacentral:lncRNA from 1 species